rnacentral:tRNA from 1 species
GGGGGUUUAGCUCAGUUGGGAGAGCACCUGCCUUGCACGCAGGGGGUCAAGGGUUCAACUCCCUUAAUCUCCACCA